GGGUGAGUAAUGCCUAGGAAUCUGCCUGGUAGUGGGGGAUAACGUCCGGAAACGGGCGCUAAUACCGCAUACGUCCUGAGGGAGAAAGUGGGGGAUCUUCGGACCUCACGCUAUCAGAUGAGCCUAGGUCGGAUUAGCUAGUUGGUGGGGUAAAGGCCUACCAAGGCGACGAUCCGUAACUGGUCUGAGAGGAUGAUCAGUCACACUGGAACUGAGACACGGUCCAGACUCCUACGGGAGGCAGCAGUGGGGAAUAUUGGACAAUGGGCGAAAGCCUGAUCCAGCCAUGCCGCGUGUGUGAAGAAGGUCUUCGGAUUGUAAAGCACUUUAAGUUGGGAGGAAGGGCAGUAAGUUAAUACCUUGCUGUUUUGACGUUACCAACAGAAUAAGCACCGGCUAACUUCGUGCCAGCAGCCGCGGUAAUACGAAGGGUGCAAGCGUUAAUCGGAAUUACUGGGCGUAAAGCGCGCGUAGGUGGUUCAGCAAGUUGGAUGUGAAAUCCCCGGGCUCAACCUGGGAACUGCAUCCAAAACUACUGAGCUAGAGUACGGUAGAGGGUGGUGGAAUUUCCUAGUAGCG
rnacentral:rRNA from 1 species